rnacentral:misc_RNA from 1 species
AUUGAUGAAAUUUGUGAUAGAAUUUGGCGCAGUUUUUGCAAGAUCAGGCUCCCGUAUGUUUAAUAGAAGAAUUAUCAAAACUAGAAUCAUUAAACAGUCACGUUUUCUUACCCACCUGAGAAGAUUCUCUGGUUCAUCAACUUUAAAUUCUUCAAAGCUGAAGGAGAGAAGUUUAAUGGCAGACAUUAUCUCUAAAAUUAAGGUGUCUGGUCCUCUGUCAGUAGCUGCUUUCAUGCAGGAAGUUCUAACUAGUCCAUCUAGUGGAUAUUAUAUGAAAAGUGAUGUAUUUGGGCAAUCUGGUGACUUUAUUACUUCACCAGAGAUCAGCCAGGUUUUUGGGGAGUUAGUGGGUGUUUGGUUUGUUUAUCACUGGCUUUUAACUGGAAAAGAAAAAAUUCAGCUCGUUGAAUUGGGACCAGGAAGAGGGACACUUAUGGCAGAUAUUCUUAGGGUAUUAAGGAAGUUCAUGGUUUUAGAAGACAAUAUAUCUCUUCAUCUUGUUGAACUGAGUCCAGCUCUCAGUGCCAUCCAAGCCAAUCUGUUGACUGGCCAGGAUUGUGUGGCUCAAGACCAAAGCAAAAUGCAAUCCUCACUAAGCUAUAAACAAGGAAAAACUGCUACAGGGAUCCCAGUCUCAUGGUAUCAUGGUGUACAAGAUGUACCUGCUGGAAAUACUUUUUAUCUGGCACAUGAAUUUUUUGAUGCCCUUCCAGUACAUCAAUUUAAGAAAACAGAUCAUGGAUGGAGAGAGGUGUAUGUGGAUAUUGACAAACAAAAACACUCUGCUUUGAGAUUUGCUCUAGCACCUGGACCUUCAGUAGNUUCCGAAGCACUUGUUAAUAAUUUGCAAACCCCAUCUCAUGAAAUUGAAGUUUGUCCACAAGGUGGAGCAAUAAUAGAGCACAUGGCAGGAAUCAUCAGUACUUAUGGUGGUACUGCACUAAUAGUUGAUUAUGGACAGGUUGGCAGUAGCAGAUUUACACUAAGGGAACAGCAGACAUGACAGCAAAUGUUGAUUUUCAAUUUCUUGAGAAGUCAUUAAAAGGAAUGGCUCAGGCACAUGGGCCUGUAAGCCAACGAUCAUUUUUGAGAGAGAUGGGAAUUGACGAAAGAAUGAAGGUGCUGCUAUCAAAUGCAACAGGUUCUCAAGCCGGACAACUACAAAGUGGCUACAAAAUGUUGAUGGAUGAGAUGGGAGAAAAGUUCAAGUUUUUUGCAGUUACUCAAAAAGGCAUUCCAAAACCUCCUGGCUUUUCAGA